CAGCAGCCGCGGGAAUACGAAGGGUGCAAGCGUUGAUCGGAAUUACUGGGCGUAAAGCGUGCGUAGGCGGUUUGUUAAGUCUGUUGUGAAAUCCCCGGGCUCAACCUGGGAAUGGCAAUGGAUACUGGCAAGCUAGAGUGUGUCAGAGGAUGGUGGAAUUCCCGGUGUAGCGGUGAAAUGCGUAGAGAUCGGGAGGAACAUCAGUGGCGAAGGCGGCCAUCUGGGACAACACUGACGCUGAGGCACGAAAGCGUGGGGAGCAAACAGGAUUAGAUACCCCGGUAGUCCCUGUCUCUUAUAA
rnacentral:rRNA from 1 species